AGGGGCGUCGUCAAGCGGUAAGACUCAGGAUUUUGGAUCCUGCAUUCGGAGGUUCGAAUCCUCCCGCCCCUGCCA
rnacentral:tRNA from 1 species